rfam:Dipodomys ordii contig_73514, whole genome shotgun sequence.
GGUGGCUCAGUGGUAGAGCGUUUGCCUUACAUGCUUAAGGCCCUGGGUUCGAUUCCUCAGCACCA